UACGUAGGGUCCAAGCGUUAUCCGGAAUCACUGGGCGUAAAGCGUGCGUAGGUGGCGUGUUAAGUGUGAUGUUAAAUCGUGGGGCUCAACCCUGUCGGUGCAUCACAUACUGGCAUGCUAGAGGACAGCAGAGGCAAGUGGAAUUGGUAGUGUAGCAGUGAAAUGCGUAGAUAUUACCAGGAACACCAAUGGCGAAGGCGGGUCUCUGGACAGUUCCUGACGCUGAGGCACGAAGGCCAGGGGAGCAAACGGG
rnacentral:rRNA from 1 species